rnacentral:rRNA from 1 species
UACGUAGGGUGCAAGCGUUACUCGGAAUUACUGGGCGUAAAGCGUGCGUAGGUGGUUUGUUAAGUCUGAUGUGAAAGCCCCGGGCUCAACCUGGGAAUGGCAGUGGAUACUGGCAAGCUAGAGUGCGGUAGAGGGGUGUGGAAUUCCCGGUGUAGCGGUGAAAUGCGUAGAGAUCGGGAGGAACACCAGUGGCGAAGGCGGCACCCUGGACCAGCACUGACACUGAGGCACGAAAGCGUGGGGAGCAAACAGG